UAAAGCACGAGCAUUGAAAGCAGAAACAGGUUUUUUAAUAAGAGUAGGGAUGAGAACAGGAAAUAUAGUUGAUGAUCGUCGGGAAAUUAUCUCUCUAAGGGCUGAAAGUGCUUGCUCAGAUUGAUUUUCUGAUUCAAGUAACUUAAGUAAUUGCGGUAACACAUCAUCAACAGCUCUAUCUCCUAAAAUACUUUGGAGUGAAUCGAAUGCCUCAGCAGCAGUUUCCCUAACUUCUAAAUCACCAUCCAUAAGGGCUCGACGUACAGCAUAAACAAAAUCAUCACUGUAUAUUUCCAACUGUUCAGGCGUAGCACUGUUUAUUAGCUCUUCAAGAGCAAUACAUACUCCAAUACGAUCACCACUGUUAGCUGAUUCAAGUCCUUGUUUCAAAACAGGAAGGAGCUGUGGCAAAACAUCAAAACCAGCCUUCUUCAAUAAAUCACCCAAACUCUUUACACACAUUGUUCUGCGGUCAUUACUCGAGCUAUUUAAAUUGCUGACGAUAAUAGAAGUAAGAGUUGGCAAAAUUUCCCUAACAGUACGAGGAGUGUUAACUACAAUUGCUUUCCAUAUCUGUAUGGCUGGAGUUCGAACAACUGCAGCAAUGUCUUGUCGAACAAUGUAGAGAGUCGAGAGAAUACGAUCAUGUCUUUCUUGGCCAAUAAUGUCAAGCAAUGCUUUACGGCUAACAUCACUGUGUGUACCCUCUUCCUCCUCAUCUUCUUGCAAAGCCUUCCUGUUAAUACCAGCCAAUUUAAAGACAAGAUCACCAACAAGUUGUACCGAUGAUAGACGAAUGCGCCAGGCAUUGUCAAAUAGGCCUUUCUCUAAUUCCGGUAACAACAAAUCAACAGAUUUGGUAGCGUAAUUGUUCACUAUCAUCUUGGCAGCUCUCAAAGAAGCUGUCUGAACAAGUUCAGAGUCAUCAGCCAAGCCAGACAGAAUGGGCGGUAUAGCCCGAGCCAAAUAGGGUUGAAAACGUGAUCCAAAGGUGGCGGGCAAAUAAAUGAGCAAUGAAAUAAAACUUUCACGGAUAUGUGGAACAGGGCUAGAAGUGUUCUUCAAUAUUUCUGGUAGAACGUCUUCUAAACGAGCCAAACCGAGACCAGCCAGUAUUUCUGAUAAUCCUUGAGCGGCACCCUGGCGAUCAACUUCACUACAUUCACUGCGAAGAACAUUGAAAAGUUCAGGGAUAAGCGUUGGAAAUUUCUUUUCCCCUAAUUUUUCUAUCAGUGAGCCUAAGGCCUUAGCGGCUGUUGCACGGGUAUCUGGAACGGGAUCUAUCAAAACCUCGCGAAGUCUAGGCAUCAAUGAUUCCAAAUAAACAGCCAAAUUCUCGGGUUCUGUCAAGCUUGCCAUCAAGCCAAAGAUCUUGGCUGAUUGACGUUUCGUGCCUGCAUUUCGCUCUCUCAGCCCAUAUUUGAGAAUUGGUAUUACAAGCGCCAAAGAGGGUGGAUCAAGAUAGUGAACAAAUGAUGUUUUCAACAACGCCUCCAACGCGUCGUCUGUAUAACGUGUACAAUCGGAUAACGCCUUUAAUAACGUAGGAACUAAAGUUUGAAUCUCAGGGUUCGAGAUUACGUCGCCAAAUCGAAGAAGACUCUUAUUUGCUGUAUUUCUAACUUGAGAAUGGGAGUCAGUUAGUACUUCGCUUAAUUUAGGAAUAAUCGUUGGGAGAAAAACCGACAACUGCUUUGGAGCCAUAUAGGACAUCAAACCAAGAAUCUCUACAGAAGCUUUCUUUGACCGCCAGUUAUACUCAUUCAAUCCGUCCAACAAAGUCGGGAGUAGAAGCUUAACUCCAAAUGCACUCAGUUGGCUCAUGAUCUGCUUAACAGCGUCCAUAGUUGCCUCUCGCACUUCAUUAGCAUUAUCUCCAAAGGAAGUUAAAAGCAACGGUAAUAAAUCAGGCAAAUAAGGCUCGAAAUAAAUACCUAAAAUCCUAGAGAACGCUUCAACAGCAAAAAGAGCUACCUGUCGAUGAGUAGCAUUUUGUCGAUUCGAGAUUAAUUCUGAUAACGAAUCUAAAAUAUUGAAAUCUUGAAAGGCUUUAAUACCGUAACCUUUAACCAACCCAGCCAGGCCAUAAGCAGCACCUUUUUGGUCAGCAAGUGAUGUGGAGUUCAUAAGCUUGUUACUCAAUAAUUCGUAAUACUCCUUUGAUUUACCUAAUGAUUUUUUAACCAAAGGAGGUAAGCAAACUGCAACAGCAAGCUGAACACUCUCGCUGGGUGUAGAGAGUACACUUAAUAAGCUAUCCAUAACAACAGCUAGACGAGGAUCAUUUGAAGGUAAAUGCUGUGCUACCGUGCCAAAUAAUACGACAGUAGCUUCCCGUAAACGAUCAUUAGCAUCAGUAGGCAAGGAAUCAACAUUCAACUUUUGUUCAAAAAGUUCCAUUAGAGCCUCAACCUGGUGUGCACCUGAUUGAAAAAUUGCUAAUUUUCCAGCCUCAAGCAUUUUCGAUGACACUUUUUGGGAAGCAUCAGUUACUGGAAUUUGUGCCUCCGCUUCCGAAGCAGUUAACAAGAACUCCAAGAAGGGUAAUAGCAAAUUGGACGAAAGAUAUUUGGAAAUGUGAAAAAAGGAUACGGCUACUGAUUCUCUAGCUAUACGCCCCAAAUCGCGUCCAAUAGUUUCUUUCUUAAUGAUUCCAUAUUCAUCAUAUUCGGGAGCAGAAGGUAAAGCAUUCUCACGAUAUGUUCGCAUUAAUUCCUUCGGUAUAAAUUGACCAAGCUCUUCAAACUCGUCAAGCAAAUC
rnacentral:lncRNA from 1 species